AAAAGCCUCUAUCCACCCCUCUGGGUGCUUUGGAGCUGGCAUACUUCUUUUGAUUUGUUCUGCAUUGACACCAGCUUUGUGCAGUUUUUUUAAUAUCAAGAAUUCUGAACUGAAAGAUUAUAAAGGGUCAUGGAGAAAACUAGUUAUAGUCCAAAGUGGAUAACUGAAACAGAUACCAAGAAGACAGAAUGUGUUCCUCUAUCAAAGGAAAUCCAACUCAGAGAAGAGAAAGAGAUCAUGGUGGAAAAGAACAGAAAGAACAAAGAGAGAUACAUGAAAGACACCUCUUGAUUGAGCUUAGAAACUGAGAAAUUGCACUAGUAAAAGAGAAGAGGUGUUUGAUAUUUUAUUUAUUUAUUUAUUUUGAGACGUAGUCUUGCUCUGUCGCCAGGCUGGAGUGUAGUGGCAUGAUUUUGGCACACAACAACCUCCCAUUCCAGGUUCAAGCAAUUUUUCUGCCUCAGCCUCCCAAGUAG
rnacentral:lncRNA from 13 species